UUCUCCAGCCAUGCUGAGCCGUGACUCAAUUAAACCUCUUUCCUUUAUAAAUUAUCCAGUCUCAGGCAUGUCUCUAUUAGCAGAAUAAGAAUAGACUAAUAUACCAAGCUGUGGUUAAAUACU